rnacentral:rRNA from 1 species
UAGGGAAUCUUCGGCAAUGGGGGCAACCCUGACCGAGCAACGCCGCGUGAGUGAAGAAGGUUUUCGGAUCGUAAAGCUCUGUUGUAAGAGAAGAACGUGUGUGAGAGUGGAAAGUUCACACAGUGACGGUAACUUACCAGAAAGGGACGGAUAACUACGUACCAG